rnacentral:rRNA from 1 species
AUACGGAGGGUGCAAGCGUUAAUCGGAAUUACUGGGCGUAAAGCGUACGUAGGCGGUUCGUUAAGUUAGAUGUGAAAGCCCCGGGCUUAACCUGGGAACUGCAUUUAAAACUGGCAAACUAGAGUUGAGUAGAGGGGAGUGGAAUUUCAGGUGUAGCGGUGAAAUGCGUAGAGAUCUGAAGGAACACCAGUGGCGAAGGCGACUCCCUGGACUCGAACUGACGCUGAGGUACGAAAGCGUGGGUAGCAAACGGGAUUAGAAACCCUUGUAGUCC